GACCCAAGUCACGGGACUGCUGUGCCAUGUGCUGUGGAGAGGGGAACAGCACAGAGCCAGCCCGGGCUAUUGUAGCAUUCAAUUAGUGCUUACACAGUGCCUUGAAUAACUCACAUGAAAAGCUGACUUAUUAUUAUUGUUAUUAUUGUUAUUAUUAAGCUAACAGUAUAUUCUCUGUGGAGCUCAUGAAGAGGAGGUGACGCACAAACAGCACAUACAGUAGCAGCUGCAUGUGAACAGUGCCCCAGGAGUUAUAAAGAAAAAAAUUACCUUAAUAAUGGUUCCUCUGCUGUGGUGGGAUUUUCCUCCCUUUAAUUAUAGUUGCUGUUUUCAUUUGAAAUUGAUUAAGUGUUUUAGGAUGGCAAAUAGAGCUGGUCUUUCUAAAAAGAACACUCAAAGACAUCCAGCCCCAGCUAGGAGUGGAACAUUUUUAUUCCUUUCUAAAGGACUCAGAAUUUCUUUCUUCCGAAAUGGGAAGAAGAUGACUGGGUUUGGCGUUCUCCAGAACAUCUCACGAUUCUCCCACACUAAGGAGAGGUGGACACCUGUACCAUGGGACUUCUUGGAGAGGGGCAUCUGCAGUGAAGGAGGGAGCACCUCAUUUCUGAAGUUAAAACACUGUUGUAUCAUUUGUCGUGAAUUAAAGACCCCCUACCUCUA